rnacentral:rRNA from 1 species
UACGUAGGGUGCAAGCGUUAAUCGGAAUUACUGGGCGUAAAGCGUGCGCAGGCGGUUUUGUAAGUCUGAUGUGAAAGCCCCGGGCUCAACCUGGGAAUUGCAUUGGAGACUGCAAGGCUUGAAUCUGGCAGAGGGGGGUAGAGUUCCACGUGUAGCAGUGAAAUGCGUAGAGAUGUGGAGGAACACCGAUGGCGAAGGCAGCCCCCUGGGUCAAGAUUGACGCUCAUGCACGAAAGCGUGGGGAGCAAACAGG